rnacentral:rRNA from 1 species
GAUGAACGCUGGCGGCGUGCCUAAUACAUGCAAGUCGAGCGAACGGACGAGAAGCUUGCUUCUCUGAUGUUAGCGGCGGACGGGUGAGUAACACGUGGAUAACCUACCUAUAAGACUGGGAUAACUUCGGGAAACCGGAGCUAAUACCGGAUAAUAUUUUGAACCGCAUGGUUCAAAAGUGAAAGACGGUCUUGCUGUCACUUAUAGAUGGAUCCGCGCUGCAUUAGCUAGUUGGUAAGGUAACGGCUUACCAAGGCAACGAUGCAUAGCCGACCUGAGAGGGUGAUCGGCCACACUGGAACUGAGACACGGUCCAGACUCCUACGGGAGGCAGCAGUAGGGAAUCUUCCGCAAUGGGCGAAAGCCUGACGGAGCAACGCCGCGUGAGUGAUGAAGGUCUUCGGAUCGUAAAACUCUGUUAUUAGGGAAGAACAUAUGUGUAAGUAACUGUGCACAUCUUGACGGUACCUAAUCAGAAAGCCACGGCUAACUACGUGCCAGCAGCCGCGGUAAUACGUAGGUGGCAAGCGUUAUCCGGAAUUAUUGGGCGUAAAGCGCGCGUAGGCGGUUUUUUAAGUCUGAUGUGAAAGCCCACGGCUCAACCGUGGAGGGUCAUUGGAAACUGGAAAACUUGAGUGCAGAAGAGGAAAGUGGAAUUCCAUGUGUAGCGGUGAAAUGCGCAGAGAUAUGGAGGAACACCAGUGGCGAAGGCGACUUUCUGGUCUGUAACUGACGCUGAUGUGCGAAAGCGUGGGGAUCAAACAGGAUUAGAUACCCUGGUAGUCCACGCCGUAAACGAUGAGUGCUAAGUGUUAGGGGGUUUCCGCCCCUUAGUGCUGCAGCUAACGCAUUAAGCACUCCGCCUGGGGAGUACGACCGCAAGGUUGAAACUCAAAGGAAUUGACGGGGACCCGCACAAGCGGUGGAGCAUGUGGUUUAAUUCGAAGCAACGCGAAGAACCUUACCAAAUCUUGACAUCCUUUGACAACUCUAGAGAUAGAGCUUUCCCCUUCGGGGGACAGAGUGACAGGUGGUGCAUGGUUGUCGUCAGCUCGUGUCGUGAGAUGUUGGGUUAAGUCCCGCAACGAGCGCAACCCUUAAGCUUAGUUGCCAUCAUUAAGUUGGGCACUCUAAGUUGACUGCCGGUGACAAACCGGAGGAAGGUGGGGAUGACGUCAAAUCAUCAUGCCCCUUAUGAUUUGGGCUACACACGUGCUACAAUGGACAAUACAAAGGGCAGCGAAACCGUGAGGUCAAGCAAAUCCCAUAAAGUUGUUCUCAGUUCGGAUUGUAGUCUGCAACUCGACUACAUGAAGCUGGAAUCGCUAGUAAUCGUAGAUCAGCAUGCUACGGUGAAUACGUUCCCGGGUCU